AUUGAACGCUGGCGGCAGGCCUAACACAUGCAAGUCGAGCGGAUGAAGGGAGCUUGCUCCUGGAUUCAGCGGCGGACGGGUGAGUAAUGCCUAGGAAUCUGCCUGGUAGUGGGGGAUAACGUCCGGAAACGGGCGCUAAUACCGCAUACGUCCUGAGGGAGAAAGUGGGGGAUCUUCGGACCUCACGCUAUCAGAUGAGCCUAGGUCGGAUUAGCUAGUUGGUGGGGUAAAGGCCUGCCAAGGCGACGAUCCGUAACUGGUCUGAGAGGAUGAUCAGUCGCACUGGAACUGAGACACGGUCCAGACUCCUACGGGAGGCAGCAGUGGGGAAUAUUGGACAAUGGGCGAAAGCCUGAUCCAGCCAUGCCGCGUGUGUGAAGAAGGUCUUCGGAUUGUAAAGCACUUUAAGUUGGGAGGAAGGGCAGUAAGUUAAUACCUUGCUGUUUUGACGGUACCAACAGAAUAAGCACCGGCUAACUUCGUG
rnacentral:rRNA from 1 species